rnacentral:rRNA from 1 species
CCUACGGGAGGCAGCAGUGAGGAAUAUUGGUCAAUGGACGAGAGUCUGAACCAGCCAAGUAGCGUGAAGGAUGACUGCCCUAUGGUUUGUAAACUUCUUUUAUAUGGGAAUAAAAUGUUCCACGUGUGGGUAUUUGUAUGUACCAUAUGAAUAAGGAUCGGCUAACUCCGUGCCAGCAGCCGCGGUAAUACGGAGGAUUCGAGCGUUAUCCGGAUUUAUUGGGUUUAAAGGGAGCGUAGGUGGUUUGUUAAGUCAGUUGUGAAAGUUUGUGGCUCAACCGUAAAAUUGCCGUUGAAACUGGAAGUCUUGAGUAUAGUAGAGGUAGGCGGAAUUCGUGGUGUAGCGGUGAAAUGCAUAGAUAUCACGAAGAACUCCGAUUGCGAAGGCAGCUCACUAGACUACAACUGACACUGAGGCUCGAAAGUGUGGGUAUCAAACAGGAUUAGAUACCCCAGUAGUC